ACUCUCAAUUUUCAUCUCCAUCUCUCUUUUGGUUCCUCUCAAUCGCCAUCUCCAUCUCUGCUACACUCUCAAUUUUCAUCUCCAUCUCUCUUUUGGUUCCUCUCAAUCAUCAUCUCCAUCUCUGCUCUCUUAUUGUCGCUCCUUCCAAAUCCGUCCAUCGGAUUUCUUCGACCUCUCGAACUCGGCUGGCGUCAAGGCAUUGGAGCUUCGCAUUGGCUAGGGUGAAACCCCCCUUGAUGGAGAUCGGGGUGGAGUCAUCUUUCAGUAUCCAUUAAACGAAAGCUCAUGGCAAAAUGGCCAUUACUCUACAGCUCAUGGCCACUGUGAGGAGAGAAUCUGUAUAUGGAAAAAGUGCAGGGCCACUUCCUCCUCCUCCUGAAGUCAUCAAUUAUGACAAUGCAGUUGCAAACCAAAUUUUGGAGAAUGCAAAAGCUGAAAAACAUAGUUCCUCAUCUGAAUCGGUAACUUCGCUUUUAUUUUAUUUAUGGAGUUUUCUAAGAAUGAGAGAACCAAACAUGUGUGGCUUUACAAUUACUCUAGGAAAAUUUUGUUGAAAUCUGGGGUUUAAGAUUGAUUAAGGCAACAAGUUGUGAGAGCCUUGUCUACUGAAACAAAAGAAAUUUCUCUUUUGUUUCAUGACUUCAUUAAUAUAAAUUAUUAAUUAAAUGUCUCUUGUUCAAGGUCUGCCCCAUAUGCCUCACAAACCCAAAGGACAUGGCUUUUGCAUGUGGUCAUACAACUCUGGCCUUAUGUGUUUGAAGCUAUUUUCUGAUCGAUCCAUUGUAGUGAUGAAGCUACGAAGCAAGUGAUUGAUGUUUGGUUAGUGACAAGAUUUAUUGUAAUUUUGUUAUUCAUGACAAUAUAACCUUGUUGUAUUUAGUUUCUUUGUAAAAAUAUAUUACCCACGUUCAGUUUCUAUUUUGCUUGUAUUUGUCCCUUCGGAAAAUUUCGAUAGAUUUUCUACACUUAGUUUCUUUGUAAAAAUGUUAUCUAUGAAAUCUAAUGUAAAGCCUAUUUCAUUAUGUAUAUGUAAAGUCUUGGAAUUGAAUAUAUAUGGUGAAUGGUUUUAUUUA